rnacentral:sRNA from 1 species
UAAUCACAAUGGUGGUGCAGUAUUCUAGUCAGAUCUCACCGACUCGGAGGCGGGGGUAAAAUAUCGCCGAAGGGCAUAUCGAUGAAGUUUCUGGUGACGGCUUCUUUUGCCCAAAUUGGGGCUGUUGCUGGGAGUUAAGGACUUUGGGCGGCUUGCAACGGCAUGCAAAUCCCGUACCAAUCUCCGUGGAGACCCAACUCGGUGGAUCGGCGUAACAUCGGUCUACUGACUGGGGUGAAACCUGAUAUGCGGUGUGUAAAAAUGCUGUGUACAGUGUAGCCUGCUUUGAGUGACGUGCAGGGAAUCGGGAACCACGCCUUUUCGUAUGGCCAAUACGCGACGGUGAUUGCUCGAUGAAAUCCACGCUGCAAAAAAAGAUAAGGGCGGGCGGGAUCUGUCAAGGAAAUCUUCUAGACUGUUCAAUCGAGACAGCGUGGGGAUUAUAGUGUGCUCUAAGUGGCGAUUCGGUUUCUCUUUGAGAUGCUUCGAGUGAUAGGAAACUUCUCGGACGGCGACGACGAGUUUCGAUGCAGGGAAAACCUACCGAACCUAUGGCGCAAGGUUUACCCAUGUUGUUGCCACCAUUUUAUCUU